rnacentral:lncRNA from 1 species
AGAAAAGAGUGAGAAUUUCGGAGAUAAUCAUGGCGAACGUGAAGUUGGCUUGUGGGUUGGUGUUGUUUAUGGUGGUGGCUGGGGCUCUGACCAGCGAGGCUCUGACGUGCGGCCAAGUAGCAUCAUCACUGGCGCCGUGUCUGAGUUACUUGCAAGGUAGGGCUGGUAGUUCUCCGUCGGUAUCAUGCUGCGCCGGCGUCAGGAGCCUUAACAAUGCAGCCCAAACGACACCGGAUCGGAAAACCGCUUGCCAGUGUCUGCAGAGUGCUGCCAGGGCCACCAACUUUAAUCAGAAAAUUGCCGCUAGUCUUCCCGGCGAGUGCGGCGUCAGCAUUCCCUACAAGAUCAGCACCAG